AGGUGGUUGCCAGGAAACCUUCAGGGCACCUGAGAACUGAGGACGCUCCAUCUGUCUAGGGAAAGUUUGCUGAAUGGAAAGGCUGGCAGUAGGGAGCACAAGCCAGAAGAAACAAGCAAGAGGAGACAAGAAAAAUGAACGCAGUGAGGAAAGAAGUCACAAACCCCGGCUUUAAAUAGGUCACCUCACAGAAAGGACUUAAUUGCUCACACUCGGUGCCUUUCAAGUGUAAAGUGAACAUAGUGAUGUUAGCACCUCACCGAAUCAUCAUCACAAGGCCAUGACGUGACGCAUGCAAAGUGCUCAGUGCAUCGCCCGUCCGUUCCCAGAAAGGACGGAACAAACACAAUGAGCUGCUAUUGCUUCCUGCUACUGCAGAGAGGUUGACAAAGGGGAGCUGAGUGCCAGCCAGCCUCAGAGAAGAAAGCAAAAAGAACCCAUGGCCAUCCUAGACCGCCAUCGUGGAGAUGAUGACAGGACAAAGGGAGCUGUGCUGGUGAGCAAUCUGAUGGCUCUCCGCAGCUCAGAGUCCCGGGAACAGUCAUCCACCGUCCUCCGUCUAAAGGAUAAGCUGCCAUGAACCCCGUCACUUGGAGGUGGAAAGCAACUCUUGUGUUCUUUCAAAACACUACCUUCUGAGGUCCAUCCGUGCUGAUGUACAGAGAGUCAAUUCUUCAGUGAGGCUGCUUCGCUCCACACUGCAUAACAAUUACUGUACUCGCUUGCAUAUUUUUUUCUGAUGGAUGUCUACACUGCUUCUAAUUUUCUCUUAUUGAAAAAACGUUUCAGUGAAUGAUUGGAUACCGUCUCUCAGUGCAUCGCCCAAGAGCCUCUCGGAGAUUUACCUAGGAUUCUUGAGUCUCAGACAAUAUGUAUUUUCAAUUUUAAUAAAUUCUGCCAAAUUGC